rnacentral:lncRNA from 1 species
GGACGCACUAUCUUAACAAGAGAGGAUAUCACAAACACGUAAAUGCAAAACAUUAACGAAAACUGUAAACAAUAAUCAAAUAGGAUCAAACACACGCCUACUUUUUACCCAUCCUCACACGUCCUAGUAAACUCUCACAAUCCUAUACCUUAAAGUUACAAAAACUUUAAACCUAAGCUCUGAUACCAAAGCAUUUUGGGCAGGUGGUUUGGCCCAAGGAGUUAUUAUUGCUGGCGGGUCGGGUCGUUGUAAUUGGUAUCAGAGCCGAAUACUAGCCGGAAGUGUGAGAACUAAGUGCUAUGCGGGACAAAGUGCUACACCAACGGGUUUGGUGGGAGCCACCUCUUGAACCCGUAGGAGCCACCUCUAGAAUCUCACAUCGCCUGGUAAUGGUCCUGAUCUGUCUGUCCGUGAUCUGAUUUGGACCCGACGAGGACGUCAGGGUCUAAACAGGGGGAGUUUGUAACGCCCCUAAUAGUCCCACAUCGGGUGGGAUACUGAUUCCGAUCAGUUUAUAUGAGGCAUCGCACGCUAGUAAUAAUAACUGGGCUUAAGCAUUUUGGGCUGGUGGUUUGGGCCCAACGAGUUAUUGUUGCUAGCGGAUCGGGUCGUUGCACUUCCGAUUCUCCUUUCAAGUGUGAGGAAUGCACCAGUUGUGCUCUUUUUUGUAUUAUUAUUGGCUCUCUUAAAGUGUG